AAGAUCUUAGUUUAAGUAAAAAAUUUUUAAAUUGCUCUUAAAGGAUAAGUAUUUAGAUCUUA
rnacentral:tRNA from 1 species